CUGAGAGUUUCAACAACUGCCUGUGCUGCUCAGGGACUGACUCAAUCCUAUGGAUAGGAGCUGUCAGGGUAUAAGUUAAAUUUAUUAUUUUCAGAGCAGCAAUAAAAGCUGAGGCAAAGAAGGUGGAAGGAAGGGACAUUUGGAGUGAUGCUGUUUUUCUUCCCAAGAAAUUAUCACAUAUGAUAAACACUACUUUCUUGGGAGUGGGUAAACAUCUGCCUGCCAAUGGGAACUAGUGAAUAAAUUCCUUGUUUUGCUUUGUUUGUGCGUGCUGCAUUUGUUUUAUCUAGUAAGCUGUCUUUAUCUCAACCCACAAGUUCUCUCAUUCUUAUCUUUCCAAUUCUCUCCCCUAUCCCACCUGGGUACCAUAGUACCCAGCUGCCUGCCAGGGUUAAACCACAACAGCUGGUAUCUCUGAGAUUCCUGUGGGGCUCUGCACAAAGCCUGCUACAUAUUCUUCAUUCACUCACCUCCCAAACCAGUAUGAUUACUCUCAAACAAAAAAACUGAAGCUGAAAGAAUCUGAAUCUGAAUGGUUUGCAUUUGAGGGAAAUGCAAGAGUUAGUGAGCGCUGGUGUGUCUGCUUUUUCUAAGGGUUUUAUGAAAAAUUAAGAUUUCAUUUGAGAAUAAGAAAUUCAAAUCUCUACUCUUCUCUAUUUGAACAGGGACUGUGAAAGAGAAUCCCAAUAGAAUGCUUUAACCAUUGGAAUCAUAAAUCUGUCUGCAUUCUAGGAAAGGAAAGCCAGUUCCUUUUUUCGAGUGUCUUUGAGUGUCAUAGAAUCAUAGAAUUACUCAGGUUGGUAAGGACCUCAAGGAUCAUCAAGUCCAACCGCAGCCUAACCACAGUACCCUAACAACCCUCUGCUAAACCAUCUCUCUGAGCACCACAUCCAAACAGCUCUUAAACACAUCCAGGGACAGUGACUCAACCACCUCCUUGGGGAGCCUAUUCCAGUGUUUAACCACUCUUUCUGUAAAGAAGUGUUUCCUAACGUCCAACCUGUCUUGGUGCCCUGGACUUGCAUGCCUCUGAUCUGUCAGUGUAAGUGACUGAUACUUAUGUGGUCCUUUGCACCUCUCCCCAGGUACCUCUUUCUGCUGGUUCCUCUACUUGGGUACCUAACUGCCCAUGUGUGUUGUACCUGAUCCAUAACACUUAUUUCCAACAGCCUGGCCCUGCCUCAGUACUUUUAAAAAUAAGUGUGCUCCAUAUUUUUAAAAAUCAGAUGCCUGUAAUGUUUCUAUCUAUAAUGUAUCUGACUUUAGCCUAAUCUGGAAUAUAGAUAGAAACAUUUUCAGAUUUCGUGUGUAUUCAUAGGCAAUUCAUACCUAUAUACAUAUAGAUAUACAUAUUCAUGAGGAGUAGCUGUGCAAUAGGCAGUCCCUUUUACUGUAUAAACGCUAUUUAGAGCAACUUGCACGAGACAUAUCAGUAUCUCAGUUUAAUUUCCUGUGGAUUUUUUGAAGAUCACACCAUAAUCUAAAGUUAAACUCUAAAAUCUAAAACUACUAAGAGAUUUGAACAUGAAACUUAGAGUGCUUCCCUUUUAAAUUUCCCAGCUUGUUUCCUGUCUGUUUCUGCCACCAUUAUUGAUAUAAGGAAUCCAUCAACAUAUUUUCCUGGAUGAUAAAGAAAGGCUGACCUUUCCUUUGCAGGUACAAAUAGGUAGUUCUUCAGAGGCUGUAAAUGAAUGACAAGAUAAUUCUAUCCAUUUAAUAUUGAAGUGAUGUUGAUAGCAUCAUUCUUCUCAUGUUUGAAACAGCAAAGUAUAGAGACCUUUCUCCCUCACUCUGUUCUGCUUUAUGUGAUGGAUUUUCUCUCUGACUAAUCGCUGUCACAUUAACCUGCACUAUUUCAUCCUUCAGAGCUGUCAAGAUAAUGACGAUAAUCGAAGUGGCUCAUUGUAGGUAAAGGAAAUUAUAUGAGCAAAGUAAUAUCAUAAAACAGUGUUUAAAUAUUUUAAUUUCAUUUGUCAGGGCUGCCCCAACACUUCAUUACACAUAUAACCAUCUCUCAUCAGUGGAAUUAGUGCAUUAUUCAUUACUGUUAAUUAUUUUCACAUAAUGGCUGCCCUGAUAUAUUUAACCUCCACAUUAUAUCUCAGAUAAUGGGCCUGUAAAAUUGAAUUGUGUGAAGAGCAGAGUUCUAAAGCUCAUUUGCAGAACAUCAAAGAACAAAGAAGAGGAAAAGAAUUCUAAAUGGGACUUUUCGCCCAGCUGGGGCCAAACAUUUGUUUCUGUCUGAUUUACAUACAGAAAAUAGGUGGUUCAGAAGUGGUUUAAUAUUGUACAUGCUGUCUCCUCCUAUUACACAGCCAAUUAGAAUUUGCUAAUGUCCUGUGUGUUUUAGAUAACUUACCAGCCACUCUAUUGUCUGAAUGGCAGUGAGCUGGAAAGUUAACAAAAGAAAAAAGUAGACUUUUCCGAAGGAUAGUCUAGAAAAUUGUAACAUAUUAAGGUGCCACCCAUAAUUAAUACUUCUUCUGAAAAACUUUGCAUUUUAUGAGCAAAUCAACAAAAAUUGCUGCUCAGAACUAAGAAGGUCCAAGUCUUUGAAAUUCCAGUAGUGCUCUGUUAAAUACUUAUUGUUCCUUGGGUCAAAUUUGCUGGUGCUUUUUCUCACAUAGGACGUGAAAAUUGGUGAGGGGGAGAACAUAGCAUCCUAAGCCAUCUAAUUGCUAAGAAGAGCAAGCUAUGUCAACAGAUCUGAUUGUCUCAGUCCUUCAUAGCAAAUAAGCAACUCCUGAUACCACCUGGGCACCUUCAAUGGUGCUCUGCCACACUGGAAUUGGUGUGUCUGCAUUGUUACUUGUAGAAAGGGGAAUGUGAGACUUUUCCCUGCUUUGCCAAAUGUUUUGAAUAUGCACUCCAAUGCAACGAAGCCAGUACAGGCAUGGGACUUAGACAUAAUUUAGCUUCUGAGAAACCAGCUGAAUCACUAGAAAUAAUUUCAGGUCUAAGUAGCAGUUUGAAGUCCACUGUACAUCCACUAUAACAGCACAGAUUUAGCUGAAUAGCCAUAUUUUUUCCCAUUUAGAGUCUUAUUCAUUAUUCACAGAUUUCAGUGGACCUGAAAAGAUGUUGAAUUCAAACACUAAGGAAAAAGCAUUUAUCAAAACUACCUGUUACAAGGAGUAAAACCAGUUCAAAAAAAGAAAACAAACAAACAAUCAAACAAACAAACAAAAAUAGACUAUUUGAACAGAUGGUGGGGAUUUUCAAACUUCAGUCUCAGAGUGUUUGUAAAGUUCAGUCUAAGUGUUUUUUGGUUUUUGUUUUUGUUUUUUUGCCUACAUCAAAAAUUUCAAAGGAAUAGCCUUUCUGAAAUCAACCUGUAGGAUACACCUUUUUUCUGCUUCAUGCCUAUACUUAAUUUUAUAAUUAUUUUUAAAAACACUUCAGACCUGUUUCUUGACUGUUACAGAAUAACUUAUGGCUGAUGGUGGGGCUCUGACCUCAGAGGGUCUUAGCCAAUCAAAGGUCAGAAAGUGUUUAAUGACUAACAAUACAAUUCACUUGAGGUCAUUAGCAUACUCUAGUCCUAUUGGCUAAAAAGUCAUAUUUCAUAGGAAUGAUAAAUGUCUU
ensembl:lncRNA